AUCUCCCCUAGAAUAUUUGAUAUCAUAUAAAAUGAGUUUAAUGAAAAAUUUGAUACACCAUGGAGAUGUGCUAAAAUCUGUGAGAAAUUGAAAUUAUUGCAGUGUAAAUAUGAGCUUUUGUUUUGUUUUGUUUUGUUUUUGAACGGAGCAGUGUAUGAUUGUUCGGAAAGAAGGCUCGUGAGACAUCUAGAUGGGGUUUUGGGUUCAUGGAAGAAAAGGGUUUUAGGGCUAAAAAAGAUUCAAAACUGUAAAGAUUUCUUAUGAACAGGGGGACAUAUUUCCUUUUCUGAGGUUGACAUUGGUUCCACUUAUUCAUGAUGCCUGCUUCAACUCUGAGUGCCCUUGUUGGUUAUGAUUACGAGGUUACACUACUCAAUGACAAUGUCUUCUUGUUAGCAAAGCAUGAAUGUCUCUCUAGUGAAGAAAUAAAAGGAGUUGUUUGAGGAAGUGGAGUCUUGCUUUGGCUGCUGCUCUACUUCGCAUGCUUGGAAAUGCAACAGGAUCGGACCCAAAGUCUGGAGGAGUGCUAGUGAUUGUGUAUAUGUUUAUUAUACGAAGGCGGAGGAGUUUUGCUUACCUUGUACUCUCAUUUUAGGAUUUAGAGUUUAGAGUUUAGAGUUUUAGAAGUUCAAUGUCAUCAUCCAGGAUAUGUUAGAGCUGAAGAAGAGUUUUGCUUU